rnacentral:rRNA from 1 species
UACAGAGGGGGCAAGCGUUAUUCGGAAUUAUUGGGCGUAAAGGGCGCGUAGGCGGCUUUGCAAGUGGCGGGUGAAAUCCCUCGGCUUAACCGAGGAACUGCCUGCCAGACUGUGAGGCUUGAGACCGGGAGAGGUGAGUGGAAUUCCCAGUGUAGCGGUGAAAUGCGUAGAUAUUGGGAGGAACACCAGUGGCGAAGGCGGCUCACUGGACCGGAACUGACGCUGAGGCGCGAAAGCGUGGAGAGCAAACAGG